CGAUUGGAAGUGUCUGGCCAAGCAGUAAGUCAGGUUUAGAGUUAAAUGCUUUAAGCCGGGUUGACAAGCUGUGAUGGGGAGCGAAAUUAAAGUAGCGAAGUUGCCGAUGUCACACUGCCGAGAAAAGCUUCUAGUGAGUAUUUAACUGCCCGUACCGCAAACCGACACAGGUAGUCGAGGAGAGAAUCCUAAGGUGAGCGAGUGAACUCUCGUUAAGGAACUCGGCAAAAUGACCCCGUAACUUCGGGAGAAGGGGUGCUGGUCGCAAGACCAGCCGCAGUGAAAAGGCCCAGGCGACUGUUUAUCAAAAACACAGGUUUCUGCAAAAUCGUAAGAUGAAGUAUAGGGGCUGACGCCUGCCCGGUGCUGGAAGGUUAAAAGGAAGAGUUAGCUUCGGCGAAGCCCUGAAUUGAAGCCCCAGUAAACGGCGGCCGUAACUAUAACGGUCCUAAGGUAGCGAAAUUCCUUGUCGGGUAAGUUCCGACCCGCACGAAAGGCGUAACGAUCUGGGCACUGUCUCAACGAGAGACUCGGUGAAAUUGAAUUGCCUGUGAAGAUGCAGGCUACCCGCGACAGGACGGAAAGACCCCAUGGAGCUUUACUGUAGCUUGAUAUUGAGUGUUUGUACUACUUGUACAGGAUAGGUAGGAGCCGUAGAAACCGGGACGCUAGUUUCGGUGGAGGCAUUGGUGGGAUACUACCCUUGUAUUAUGACCACUCUAACCCGCACCACUGAUCGUGGUGGGAGACAGUGUCAGGUGGGCAGUUUGACUGGGGCGGUCGCCUCCCAAAAGGUAACGGAGGCGCCCAAAGGUUCGCUCAGAAUGGUUGGAAAUCAUUCGCAGAGUGUAAAGGCACAAGCGAGCUUGACUGCGAGACAGACAGGUCGAGCAGGGACGAAAGUCGGGCUUAGUGAUCCGGUGGUUCCGCAUGGAAGGGCCAUCGCUCAACGGAUAAAAGCUACCCUGGGGAUAACAGGCUUAUCUCCCCCAAGAGUCCACAUCGACGGGGAGGUUUGGCACCUCGAUGUCGGCUCAUCGCAUCCUGGGGCUGUAGUCGGUCCCAAGGGUUGGGCUGUUCGCCCAUUAAAGCGGUACGCGAGCUGGGUUCAGAACGUCGUGAGACAGUUCGGUCCCUAUCCGUCGCGGGCGUAGGAAAUUUGAGAGGACCUGUCCUUAGUACGAGAGGACCGGGAUGGACAUACCGCUGGUGUACCAGUUGUUCCGCCAGGAGCAUCGCUGGGUAGCUAUGUAUGGAUGAGAUAAACGCUGAAAGCAUCUAAGUGUGAAACUCGCCUCAAGAUGAGAUUUCCCAUUCCUUUGGAAGUAAGACCCCACAGAGAUGAUGUGGUAGAUAGGAUGGAAGUGGAAGUGCGGUGACGCAUGGAGCGGACCAUUACUAAUCGGUCGAGGACUUAACCAAG
rnacentral:rRNA from 2 species